GUACUCACUUUAGCAGCACAUAUACUAAAAUUGGAACGAUACAGAGGUUAGCAUGGCCCCUGAGCAAAGAUGUCACACAAAUUCAAGAAGCCUUACAUAUUUUU